AUGCUUAACACAUGCAAGUCGAACGGCAGCGGGUGUAGCAAUACAUGCCGGCGAGCGGCGAACGGGUGAGUAAUGCUUCGGAAUCUACCUUAUGGUGGGGAAUAACUAGUCGAAAGAUUAGCUAAUACCGCAUACGUCCUACGGGAGAAAGCAGGGGAUCGUAAGACCUUGCGCCAAAAGAUGAGCCGAAGUCGGAUUAGCUAGUUGGUAGGGUAACGGCCUACCAAGGCGACGAUCCGUAGCUGGUCUGAGAGGACGACCAGCCACACUGGAACUGAGACACGGUCCAGACUCCUACGGGAGGCAGCAGUGGGGAAUAUUGGACAAUGGGGGAAACCCUGAUCCAGCGACGCCGCGUGUGUGAAGAAGGCCUGCGGGUUGUAAAGCACUUUUAGUGGGGAUGAAAUGUGCAGGGUUAAUACCUCUGUACUUUGACCUAACCCACAGAAAAAGCACCGGCUAACUCUGUGCCAGCAGCCGCGGUAAUACAGAGGGUGCAAGCGUUAAUCGGAAUUACUGGGCGUAAAGCGUGCGUAGACGGUUACAUAAGUCGGGUGUGAAAGCCCCGGGCUCAACCUGGGAAUUGCAUUCGAGACUGCGUAGCUAGGGUGCGGAAGAGGGAAGCGGAAUUUCCGGUGUAGCGGUGAAAUGCGUAGAUAUCGGAAGGAACACCAGUGG
rnacentral:rRNA from 1 species